GAACGCAUAUUGCGCUCUUUGGUAUUCCGAAGAGCAUGCUUGUUUGAGUAUCAUUAAACACCUCAACCUCCUCUUGAUUUUUCAAAAGGAGGGUGGACUUGAGCUAUCCCAACAACCUUUAUCGGUCGGCGGUCGGCUUGAAAUGCAGGUGCAGCUGGACUUUUAUCUGAGCUAAAAGCAUAUCUAUUUAGUCCUCGUCAAACAGGAUUAUUACUUUUGCUGCAGCUAACAUAAAGGAUAAUUGUCCUCUUUGCUGACUGAUGCAGGAUUUUACGACACUUUAUGUGUUGUUCAACUCGAUCUCAAAUCAAGUAAGACUACCCGCUGAACUUAAG
rnacentral:misc_RNA from 1 species